UAAGACGCUGGAGAAAAGGACAGAGAGCAGAGCUCACCCGGGUUUUCCACGCAAGAGUUGACGAUGUAUUUUCAUAUAUAUUAUACGUUAUACAAAAUAUACAUUUUGAUCACAAAUAACGACCUAACUAGUUAUUAACGCCUAAAUUUCCAUCCAUUUCUCCCUCUGCCCAAUAGAUCCUACAGAUUUUUUGGAGACUCGUCCGGGAUCGAGUAGAGUAGAGAAUUUCUGAUUCCACGAGUUGUUGAACGGUUGGAUAAUGUAAGAUUUUGCAGAGGAGUCUUGGUGAGGAGUAGCAGUAAGACUUGAGGCGUGAGGUGGACGAAUCUAUUAUAAAAAAAUGAGUGUGAAAGGUCCGUCCAAUUUUACAAUAAGUCAACUAAAGGGAAAGCUAAAGGAGUUGGUCUUUCGCAAGCGGGGAGCAAGGCAGAGUUGAUCGGUCGCUUGGAGGAAGCGAAUCCCUCGGACGGAUAUCAGAGGUAGUGCCCGAGAUACCGGAGCGCGACGAAUAGUGUGAACCAGAAAGAGUCGAAUAUGAGAAGGACGACGACAGCGCAGCGAGAUUGGGAAAUAGAUAUGUAUCGCCGAGAAAAAGAAUUAGCGAAGCGCGAAUUGAAAACUGCACGGAGAGAGUUGGAGAUGGGAGUCGGGGAGAUGCAACGUUGAGUGCAAUGGAGCGAGCUCAAGAGAGACGAGAAAAUUUUGCAUGCGAUAUAUCAAGAACUAGUAUUGAUGCAAUUGCCGAUUUGCUUGCUUGCUUGCUUGCUUCGAUGGCAAUAUCGACGACUAUGAAAAUUGGGAGAAGCAGCUUAGAUUGUUGAGAGUGACAUAUCGACUAUCAGAUGAGCACGUAAAGAUUCUGAUCGGCAUGCGGUUAAAGAGAAAAGCAGUAGAAUGGCUACAGUCAAAACCCGAAUGCAUAGAAUUGCCAGUGGACACGUUGCUAAACGAGAUGCGAGACAUGUAUAAUCAUCGUCCUAGCAAGAAGAUAUUAGAGAGGAAGUUUGAAAAACGUGUGUGGAAGAGAGAGAAAACUUUUCAUCAGUACGUCCACGAGAUAAUUUUAGGAAAUCGUGUUUCGAUCAGCGAAGACGAGAUCAUCGAUUAUAUCAUCGACAGAAUUCCAGUGACGAAUUUGAGAGAUCAAGUGUGUAUCGGCAGGUUCACGACAAAGGUUUCGUUGUUGCAAGCUUUCAAGAAAGUAACCUUGUGCGACAAAAUAAUGCCAUGUGAUUCGUGGAUGGUACGAAGAAAGCGGAGCAGGGAAGGCAGAAUGGUAAUGAUCAACGGCAACGUGGAGGCAAUGGAAGGAUGAAGGGCGAAAUGAGAGAUGAGGACAAGAGGCAUUGUUUGAAUUAUGGGUAGCGUAAUCACACGAGUGCGAACUGCCGGACUAGGAGGUCGAUUAUGUAUCACAAAAUGUAGUAAAAAUAACGAAGUUAUCUAUAGCUGCCACAAUGGAAUUAAUAGAGGAAUUACUUCCCUAUAUACCACAGAAAACAAGAAGUACAGCAAUACCUCAACAUUUCCAAAUACUAGUAAUUCAACAUUUCCGAUCAUUUGGUUCCUAUCAAAGAAAGCUGGGACAAGAUUUUUUUUCGUGCAUGUCAAACAUCGAUAUUUGUUUCCAUUUAUAAAACAGUAAACGCACUUAAUAGAAUAAUGGGACAUUGUAUUCAAUUUCCCAUUAAAGAAAAAAACAGCCCCCCAUGGAAGAAAAAAACAGCUGAUCAAAGAAGAAUUUUUUAUAAAUACUGGAUUUCCUGGAAUCAUUGCGGCAAUACAGGGUGCGGCGCCAAAAUCCGGACAAAAUUCAAUUUGAAAUUCUUGCCAUUCUAUACCACUGGUAGAUGUCGCGAUUAGCGUUCAAAUAGCUUGACG